rnacentral:rRNA from 1 species
UACGAGUGCCCCAAGCGUUAUCCGGAAUUACUGGGCGUAAAGCGUGUGUAGGCGGCUGUGUUAGUCGUUCGUUAAAGCUCCCGGCUUAACCGGGAAAAUGCGAACGAAACGGCACAACUAGAGGAGGUGAGGGGUCUAUGGAACUCAUGGUGUAGGGGUGAAAUCCGUUGAUAUCAUGGGGAACACCAAAAGCGAAGGCAGUAGUCUGGCACCUUACU